GGGAGGCUGGUGGGGGGAGAUCCUGACCCCUUCUAUACUAAUGCGGCCCCUGGAGCCUUCACUUAGAAGACAUCUACCUUGCGACUUCCUUUCUGGCAAGUUAUUAGUUGGGGGUGGGGCAGCACCCCACACGGAGUCUGGGUAAUGUCCGCCAAGGCCCGCCUCGCUCCUCCCAGAGCCGGGCGAGCAGCGUUCCCAUAGCAACCGGCCCGCCCGGGCCCGCUCGAGUUACAAAGAAGACGCGGCCUCCCGCGGGGGCAGCGCCGGGCCGGCGCAGGCGGAGCUCCCAGACCCGGCGGACUCUAAGCCAGCUAGCCAGAUUUUCGUUGCGAGAGCGCUGGGGCCCAGGCCUAGCCUAGGAGGUCCCUGAGUCCCCCACCCGCCCCUUAAUUCUCUGUGAAUCCUGUUUGCAAAGAGGGCUCUUUGCCAACGCCUGUCCUUGGCAGCGUUAGACCAGGCUCGGAGGCAGCGCUGCCUCGUGUUGCCCAAAAGUGGGAGAGAAGACAAAGCACUGAGUGGCCUUCCUGCGCACGGCUGUCAGUUCCGGACCGCCCUCCGUCACUCCUGCAAGAGCCCCACCCUGUCCCUGAGAGAAGGAGCAGACGGCCCAAAGCAUGCCUCUAGUCGUAGCCCUAGAUGCUUUCACUUGAAGGGGGCUGUCGAUGCACAUGUUGCCUAUUCAAAAACAACUUUUGGAAAUCUAAAACAAAAACUCAGUUCUUUUUCAAAGAUGCUCACCAUUUCAUGUCAUGGAUCCCGUAUCCUAAUUUCACCUGUUUCAAUCAAAGUGUGAACUUA
rnacentral:lncRNA from 1 species